GACGUAGGGCGCGAGCGUUGUCCGGAUUUAUUGGGCGUAAAGAGCUCGUAGGCGGCUUGUCGCGUCGACUGUGAAAUCCCGAGGCUCAACUUCGGGCUUGCAGUCGAUACGGGCAGGCUAGAGUUCGGUAGGGGAGACUGGAAUUCCUGGUGUAGCGGUGAAAUGCGUAGAGAUCGGGAGGAACACCAGAGGCGAAGGCGGCUAGCUGGACAGUAACUGACACUCAACUACGAAAGCGUGGGGAGCAAACAGG
rnacentral:rRNA from 1 species